GCGGGAUUAGUACAGCGGUAGUAUGCCACCCUUCCAAGGUGGAGACGCCAGUUCGACUCUGGUAUCCCGCUCUA
rnacentral:tRNA from 1 species